CAGAACUACUUCCCAAGAGGGCACUCUGUGUCUAAAAUCAAGGCUUGCCCUUUUUACUUUGUGCUGCUGCAUGAAUUCUUAUAGCUAUCCCGGCAAAAUCCAAUUUUCAGCUAAUACCAGAAUGUCUGGUCUGGUCUAACACGAGUCAUUUACUUAGAUCAGUAUAACUAAAAUCUGCACAGACAAGCUCACAGAAGUCUAUUUAUACACUCAGUUUAGAAAUUUUCCUUUUUGUUUUAACAAAACAGAAUUUCCUUUUACAAGUGAGCUGAGAGUCUGCCAAGCAACUGCCAGGUGUCUAAUCCUUUGUGUCUUCUGGAGCCAAUGCCAUUUACCUGUGCUUUGGGGAUCUACUGGAAAGUGGGACAAGAAUUAACUGCAUCUCACAGGCUCCCAGAAGGUCUCUUGUUCUAUGUAGAAAGAAAGCACUGAUGGUCUUGAGCUCUGGUUUCAUUCAGACUUGUAUGACCAACAUUACUCUAGUCCUGAGUCACGUAGUUAUAAAAAGAAGUAGUAACACUUUAAACUAACACAUUUCAUUUAUUUGUAUAUUUUAUAAUUUCAAGCUCUUCAUAACCACAGAGAACAUUUGUUGUUCACUUCUAUGGUACAUUUUUCAUGGAUUGCUGUUAUAGAAAGAUAUCUAUCCAUAAGACUCAGUCUCACUUUUAAUCCUUGUUUCACUACCAUGAAAUUAAAAGCUACAUUUAACACAAUUCAUCUUCCAAAUUGCAGCAUAAAACUGCCUUAGGACAGUGGCUGAUUGAAGAAAGCACCCCCAUUUGGCCCCAUUUCUAGGCUUGCUCUCAGCAGAGACCCAGGAGAUGUCUGGGAAUAGCUAUCCCAGCUAUGGGUUCUGCUUCCACUGGUGUCCCACAACUGUUGUCAUCCCUGAGACAUGAACUAGGAACAAGGAUUCUGAUCCUCCCCACCAGGUAACCAACAGAGCAUGUGAUUGAAAGAUUAAGCAAUGUGCUUUGUUAUACAAAUCUAGGGAACUACUAACAGUCAAUUGGUAAGGUGUCACGUUAUUCUAAAAUCUGCCUAUUUAGAUUCAGCAGUAUAUUUUUCCAUCAUUAUCUCUCUUCAGUCAGCACACUGCUCAUAUAUUAUAUAUGCCUCUCUGUUUUUUUUUAGACAGAUCAGCAAUGUGAUUUUGAGGUAAAUCUCCUGAUCAUCUUUACUUGCUGCUAUUUGAUUCACAGCCAGAGCAGCCUCAGAGUACAGGAAUCUGGAUUCCUACUCAAUGAAAUAGUAUGGGGAGAUGUACUCUCGGAGCAUACCUGAUUCAUUUGAUAGUACAAGAUCAGAGCUCCUCCAAAGCCAACCCUCUGAAAUGCAAAUAGUGUGGAUAUUGCAUCCUCAGUACCAACAGCUUAGUCAUGCAGAUCUGUUCCUCCUUGCUUAUGUACCAGUAGGGUGAGAAAGCCAUGCACACAGCAGCCCUGAUUUCACUAUAUGAGUGGAUCAGGAGAUGUUAUAAAUACGUGUGGGACAACUAAAGUCAUUAGGUCAGAAAACAACAGGGAUAUCAAUAAUUUUAUUUGCAAAGUGACGGAGCAAAUAUCUACAGUUCUCUGCAGUGACCUCAUACUUCCCAGGCUAUUAUUCCACAGUUUCAAGACUAGAAUAGUAGCUAAAUCCAGCCAUCCUCUGCGAGACUGCCUUUGUGUCUGGACUUCAGUAGCACAGAUUUAGUCAAUAGCUGUGGGAUCAAAUCGAGUUCUCUAUGGCAUAAAAGAGACGGAAAUUUUGUUCUGAAACGAACCUUCACAUGUUUCAUUAUUGGGCUGUAAUUCAGAGCAUAGGCUUUGAUACUGUCAGAUCAGUUAAGGGGAAGAAAAUCUUUCUCUGAGACUUUACACUUUUUUGUUUUACUUCUACAAUUAAUUUGUGACAGGAACACUGGACGGGUCUCCCUACCUUCAGCAAAAGAAGGAAAAAAUAUUGGUAGCCCUUGGUGCAGACAAAGCAAUAAGCCAGCCCUCCUUCAACAGCAGCAGAAAAUAUCAUCAUACUCUUUCAUAUCCUGAUAUCUUUCAAGCCCCUGUGGGCAAGUUGAAGUUCAUGGGAGGCACCAGCAAUAGAUAAGAACUCAUAAAAUUAAUUGCAGCAGUUAAGGAGACUUUUUGCUUGAUCACAGAUGUAUACAGAAAUGGAUUUCAGAGAGCAAAGCAAGAAGGAGGCAAUGAGAGAUUCCAUGAUUUAUUGGAGAUGAGCUGGCUGUGAGAAUGAGUCAAGAGUCAGGCAAAAUGAAAGGGGUCAAGUAUGAGAACAGACAUAUUCUGUAAUGUUUAGAAGCAGCCACAAACUUCGGAAAAUGACACAGCAUUAUUGCAAAGCUACCCAUAGAUCAGAUUUGUGACUGUCUUCCUGACUUCCAGAUCAAUAGCCAACGAUGGAUGUCAGGCAUUAGAUUCAGUUAUCUGCAAAUCAAAAUGCUCCUCUCUGCAGAGAACGAAGUAAUGAAUGAAGCAGGACUAAGGUGUGCCUGUCUGCCAAGAUCCACAUUUGUCUAUGGAGAGAGUGUUACUCAGUCAGUAAAAGGCCAUAGGGGGAUUGUUACUUGCCUAUGUGAAGACCUGUGUACCUCUAUCUUUUAUAAAGAAAUGUGUUUACGUGUAAUGUUUCCUGUUUGACAGCAGCAUUCAGUUCAGUCAGAUUAAGCUUGUUGGCAUCUGUUUCAAAGUUUAUCUGGGACAGGCAGAAAAGCAAAGUAAAAAAACUGGAAGUUUUGAAAGUUUGACUUUGGACAUUUCCCAUUAGCUGAUGAGAUAAUCUGUUAUCAUCUAGAAACACGUCAGCUAUCCAUAAUGGUGAGGGUAUUCCAAUAUGAUCCAGCCACACAGAGUUCAUCUACGUAUAUGUUUGUGUGCAUGUAAGUAUUUACAUAUAUGAGGACAUUUUACCUAUAUCCUCCAAGACUUUGUAACAGCUGGUUUGCUUAGCAAUUAGUUUGAAACAUUACCAAGAGCAAGAGCUAUUGGAAUGUUUUUGAAUAGCAAUUUGGUUUCAUGUCAUGUUUAUCAAGGGCUUUGAAAUCUAGCCCAAAUUUCACUGGACAGUUUGUCAUAUCCUGGAUGUCCCGGCUGCUUUCCAGUCUGCUGUUAGCUACAGAAGGAACCUUGCUCACCAAAUGAGAUCAGCCCGUCAAGCUGCAGCUAGUUACUACCCAGGUCUCCAGAAGAGAUGGUUAGCAAGUUCUCUUUGAAAUUAUUUCUUUACACCAAGACCAUAAUGCAGGUAUUCAUAUUAAUUUGUUAUCUUUGACACUCAGUGGAAAAUAAAAUAAGUGGUGGUGCUUGAUUUGAACAGAUAUCACAUGAGCAAUAAGAAAUGAAGAAAAGAAUCACAGGUAAACCUCAAGUGGUAUAUACCCACCUAUCCAGGUAUAUAAGGUCAUGCAGGGAACACAAAGCACGUGAGAACAUUUGUUAUCUUUUAUUUUGCUGCAGACAGGUCUUCAAAACUGCCUUGAAAGUCUUUACUUCAACCUAUUGCUGGAAACUGGUUCCUGAAACCCUCUUUUACAGGACCAGCAGAGCAGUGAAUGGCUUGUGAGCCUUCUGGAAUCUUAGCCCAUUGAGUGAAAUCCCAUACCAGACAGGGACCACAGUGCUCACAUGACCAACAUCCAUAAUUCACGUGUAAGCUGAACUCAUGGGACUACGAUUCUAUGAUUCUGUGACUAUUGAAGGUAGGAAAACAAGGCAAUUGAAAAGACGGAAUACAGGACAGCGAGAUCUUAACAAGAUGGUAGAACUGCAUUAUUCACCCAACUCAGCAGCAGGCUGACAGGAAGGACAGGAGCAGCCCUACAGCACUGCACAGUGAAUAUAUUAGCCAGGAGAAAAGUUCUUACUAUUGAAACACUCAGGAAAAAUUACCUUUGCUGACAGAGGGGAAAAAAAAACCUGCCAAAAACAUCAUCUCAGCAGGGAACACAGAGUAACAGGCAGGAGUUGAUAAGUAAACAGACGUGCAGCCUGCAGUAUCAAAACAAGGUGGCAUUCUGCUCAUUUUGAUGCUUGCCCACUGCCAGCUGUGAAAUCUUCACACUGCUGCUUUUAUGCUCCACAGUGUGGCGUGAAGUCUUUGCAAAGCUCAUAUUCCCUGCACUUGUGAUUCACCAUGCAGCCUCCCAUGCAGGGCCCCAACUUUCAGCAGUCAUCAUUUGCUGACAAUUUUCCUCUACCUUGUGCCACAAGAGGACUCCAAUCUCCAUAAGCUCCCAGGAGCUGCUGAUGCUUUCUCUAACUUCCCCGGAGACCCAUUCUAGCAAACCUGCAAUUAGGAACCAGGUUUACCAGUAGGUCUGUUUUUCAAAAUGUAAAAUGAGCAAACAUGCUUAGCUCUUAUUUUUGGGCUCUGAACAGAUGCAAUCUGUGAUCUGUGAAUGAGGAACUCCUGCUCUAUCCAGCUAUGGCAUCAAAUAUUUUUGCUAAGGAACUUAGCACUGGAAAAUGCACAUGGGUAAAGAGCAGUCUUUUUUGUAUCAUUAAUCAUAUGCAGCUGUGAUUAAGUUUAUGCCUGAAGAUAAAGAUUCACGUUUGAUUUCUUUUUUUGUAAUACAUUUGUUUUAAAGCUUCCUGCUUCUUGUCUAUCUAUAUGUCAUGGGUUUAAGGCAAGUAUCUUGUGAUGCUAACAGCCAUUCAUUGAUGUCUGAUUUAUGUGGUUAUGGCUGUGGAGAUGUUGUACUAAUUACAAUGAUAUGAAUACAAUUGCUCUCUCAAUUUCCAUUUUAAUGGAGGCUAAUAAAUAUAUCAGAUGGCUCUUAUGGUAUGUAAUAACCUUUCUAAUCACAAGCACGAGCUUGUAGAACUGUUGAAGAUAUGUUGUGAGAUACAGGAAAGCAUAAAAUGUGAAUCUUGUGGACAUUACAAAAUGGGUAUUUGCAUUUCACAUUGGUGGGAUCCCAUGACUUUCGGAGGAACAGCUCAGCAGUUGGUCAAAGGUGAAGGACUUGAAGAGGAAAGAGUUGCAGUCAUUCCCUAGAGUAAAUGGCAGGCUCUCAACCUGAGUGCACCAAGCAAGGUCUGUUGCUUCAGCACACCUCUUUGUUUCCCUUUAUUGCCAUGUUUAAACAGCUCUGAUACAGCAUUGUCACACAUCUCUCAGGACUGUUAUAAAAAUACAUUUGAUGUGAUUUUUGUGUGCCCCAACUGUUAAGCUCUCUGGGUUUUGUAAUUGGACUGGAGUAACACAAGUGAAUCACUCUGAUUUCACUCACCCAGCACUACAAUUACAGCGUAUUGUGCUUUGCUGGUUUUGUUACCCUUGCUUAUGAUAGAGUUCACAUUACUUUACAAGCUCUCUUAGGACAGUUUUAUUGCUGUGGUGAAAAAUGUAAGUGUUGUGAACGCUGGAAAAUGUCUUAAGGAAUUACUACAGCUGCAGACCCUCUAAAAGGAGAUUUGGUUCUUUGCAAAGUAGAAAUGAAGCCAAAAAGGACCUCAACCAUAACUUCUGGGUGCAGCCACCAGAGAGCUUUUGUCAAAGGGUAUUUUCAUAUCUGGGGACAUUGAUGAAGGACAUUUAAGCAAAGGAGCUCAGGUGUUGCCAGCACAGAGGCUGGUGCACAUAGCAAACCCCAGCCCGAACACCAGGUAAAUGCCUGCACAGUUGGGCUGUGAGCUCAGUAACCCACAGCUGCUCCGUGGGGGUCUUCUGGGCAGCUCAGGUUUGUCUGCAUGAGCAGCACAAGCAAAGCAAUCAUAACUAGCACAGAUCGAGCAGAUGUCUUGCCUUCUGAAUAGCUGUUACCCAAAUAGGCACUAGAGGGCUGUGGAAAAUAGCAUUUAAAUAUAGUAGUGCUCGCAUUGUUUGUUUUCCACACUUUCCUAUGUGGGGUUUAUAAAGGAGAGUAUGAGUCCAGGUCUUGUCUGUGGCAGUCAUCCAAAGGGAAGUGAUGGAUGCAACUCUUCUUGUUCAACGCAGAGUCUGAGGAUCCAUCUGGUGCAAGGUCAGAAAGCACAGCAAAUCCAAUUUCAGGGCUCCCUGGACCACAUCAGAAAUGCCAUGACCAUGUGAUGCAAAGCAUCAGUCUGAUGCAAAUUUACUCUGAUGGUUCCAUUUUAUGUGAAAGAUAUUAACAGUUUCACUAGUGAGUAUUUUGCUUUGAUUAUUCACACCAUUAAUGACACAUGCACUGUCCCAGAGCACAGACAUUGUGUGUCCCUUCUCAGGCCCUCUACCUGUUUUGACAGGAGCGCUUCUGCAUGCUCAGUCUUAUCAGAUGAGUUCUGCACAGUACUUUGGCAGUGGAAUGGUGAAAUAAUCACGGAAUGACUGUCUGAGAAGCUUUAGCCAAACGCUUCCUCUGGCACUGCUGGAUCGUGCCCUGUUAUGCAGUAUAGAAAUACCCUGCAAUCCUGGUGAGGAUUAAGUCAAAAUCCUCACCAACCUAAAGGCAGCUGGAAUCGUCACAGAGCUCUACACCUUGCAGAUCAUGGCAGAAAUCUCUACGAAUGCAUGUGAAUGUAAUAAUUACCUACCUAUGCAAGUGAUUCUGGGGCUUAUCUAUUGGGAAGAAAAAGGCCGUGGGAGCUCUUGGAUAGUAGAGAUUGUGGUAAUGUUAUCGAUUUGUUACUCUUUGUGAGACUUAGCCGUGUGCUGCUGUUUUUCUCUCUUAUCCACCAUCUAGAAAAGUGCUGUCAGAGCCCAGGGGCUGAGACCCUGCGUGAAGUGCUGGGUGCUUUGCUGUGGGUGGGAAUUUGGCCCAGAGGGUGAGGGUGCUUGCUAUCCACCUGCAGUGUCUGACGUGGGCGUGUUUUGCAGGGCACUGGGCUAUUCCAAGUUUGCCUAAGCACUGACGGCAGCUUUAGCAUACUUGAUCUGUUUAUGGUCUAGUUUAUGAUCUGUUUAUAGUCUUAUCUUGUACUAGAUCUUCAAGGCAAGAGGACAGACAGAUACUGCUCCCACAUCUUGAUCUAUUCCCAGCUAGGCAUGGUGCACGUUGCUCUGCAUCCUGCUGGCUCAGUAAAUUACUGCCUUUACUGAAUAACAUCAGGUACAUGGGCAUGAGUGGCGUGGGAUAAACCCUCAUAGUCUGACAGCAAUUAACUGGAGGCUGUGGAUGAGAGAAACUUCCCUCAUUCAAGCUGAGAUUAUUGUUUUGGAGGAAUUUUAAUUUUCUUAAAUCUGUGAGUGAGUGGCUGCUCUUUAGAGUGGAAGCUGCCUUGCUGCACAGCAUGAGGAGCCCCAUGGAUCUGGGCCUUGGCUUUGAGGAUGUGUGCUAGAGGGAAAAAGGAUCUGCCUUUUCCUGCUAAGGGUGGGGAAGCGGGGCACUUCAGGCAUCUGGUUCAGCACUUCUGGUUUCAGAAGCGUGAGCCUGAGCUUUACAUCACACUUUGCUGUAGAUGGGUGACUCAGGCUUGGGGAUGAAAGUCAGACACAUAUAUUGGUCACGUUAUCCCUUCAUGUGAUUUUGGCUUCAGAAAGUUGAGUGUCUUUUAACUCUGCCACUACCAAGGUUCCAGGUGAAUGCUUGGCUUCAUCUUCUUCACGGCGGUGGAGGAGGUGCGAAGUUCCACUUCAGCUCCCGCCCUCGUCCAGCACCGACCCGUGGGUUUUGCGGGGAGCAGGAGAGGCAGCGGCAGUCAAAGGCGUGGGGUCGCGCCACACUGCGAUCACCGUGUUGCACCGGAUCCCCUGUCAAGUCCUACCUCCCUCGGGGGGCUGAGACCAGCGCCGACAGGGCCGUCAUCCUCUUCUGGAGGAGCUCGGGGCUCCGCUUGCCGCGGGGCUGAUCGUUUCGCUCUGCAUGCACGCGUGAAGCCGGGAGCGCGCCCGCCUCCGUGUCAGGGCUGCACAUCGCCUGGGCGCUUCGAGUCACGGCGUCGGAGGAGGAGGAUGGCCGGAUGCUGAGACCAAGCGCUCCUGCAGCUGGAGGGCUUCGGCGUGGCCGUUCCUGCAGGUUGGCUUUUCUGUUACCUUAUACGCAGAGUCGGCACACCCCAAGCGCGGCUGGCUGCCUUCCUGGGAGUGCGUGUGCCUCCUUGCUGCUCAGGGCUUUUUGUUUUGUUUAUUUACUUCGGCUCUCGCUUUGGCUUCAGCCUCUCGCUGUGUUGGAGAGAAGAAAGAGCCAGGCUGGGGGGGAAGGAGGCUAGCCAGAAGCCCCGACCCCCCGCUCCGCGCCGAUCCCGCCCGCAUUUUGCACGCUUCCUUUCUUUUUUCCUCCUUUUUUUGUUUCCCC